rnacentral:rRNA from 1 species
GAUGAACGCUGGCGGCGUGCCUAAUACAUGCAAGUCGAACGAAACUUCUUUAUCACCGAGUGCUUGCACUCACCGAUAAAGAGUUGAGUGGCGAACGGGUGAGUAACACGUGGGCAACCUGCCCAAAAGAGGGGGAUAACACUUGGAAACAGGUGCUAAUACCGCAUAACCAUAGUUACCGCAUGGUAACUAUGUAAAAGGUGGCUAUAAUACCGCUUUUGGAUGGGCCCGCGGCGCAUUAGCUAGUUGGUAGGGUAAAGGCUUACCAAGGCAAUGAUGCGUAGCCGAAUUGAGAGGUUGAUCGGCCACAUUGGGACUGAGACACGGCCCAAACUCCUACGGGAGGCAGCAGUAGGGAAUCUUCCACAAUGGGCGAAAGCCUGAUGGAGCAACGCCGCGUGGGUGAAGAAGGUCUUCGGAUCGUAAAACCCUGUUGUUAGAGAAGAAAGUGCGUGAGAGUAACUGUUCACGUUUCGACGGUAUCUAACCAGAAAGCCACUGCUAACUACGUG